rnacentral:rRNA from 1 species
GAUGAACGCUAGCGGCAGGCUUAACACAUGCAAGUCGAGGGGUAUAGUAGCAAUACUAGAGACCGGCAAACGGGUGCGGAACACGUACAGAACCUACCUCAAUCUGGGGCAUAGCCCGGAGAAAUCCGGAUUAACUCCCCAUAGGAUCAUAGAAAGGCAUCUUUUAGUGAUUAAAAAUUUAUUGGAUUGAGAUGGCUGUGCGUCCCAUUAGCUAGUUGGUAGGGUAACGGCCUACCAAGGCGACGAUGGGUAGCUGGUGUGAGAGCACGA